rnacentral:rRNA from 1 species
AGGCUGNAACCCGCCUGCAUGGAGUCGGAAUUGCUAGUAAUCGCGGAUCAGCAUGCCGCGGUGAAUACGUUCCCGGGCCUUGUACACACCGCCCGUCACACCAUGGGAGCCGGUAAUACCCGAAGUCAGUAGUCCAACCUCGUGAGGACGCUGCCGAAGGUAGGAUUGGCGACUGGGGUGAAGUCGUAACAAGGUAGC